GCCAUAGCUCAGUGGUAGAGCAUUUGAUUUGCAUGCAGAAGGUCCCAGGUUUAAUCCCCAGUAGCAUCU